GACGAACGCUGGCGGCGUGCCUAAUACAUGCAAGUUGAGCGGUAAGGCUUUGUGCUUGCGCGGAUUUCGAGAGCAGAACACGUGUGAGUCACGCGAGUAACCUCUCCUUUUCUGCGGGAUAAACCCUUUAAACAGGAGUUCUUAUCCCACAUAACCACUUUACGCAUGGUUUUUGAUGGUAAGUGACGGCGGUUCGGGAUGGACACGCGGUUUAGCAGCUUGUUGGUGGGGUAGUGGAUUACCAAGGCUUCGACGGGUAGCCGGCCUGAGAGGGUGACCGGCCACAUUGGGACUGAGAUACGGCCCAGACUCCUACGGGAGGCAGCAGUGGGGAAUAUUGCACGAUGGGCGGAAGCCUGAUGCAGCAACGCCGCGUGCGGGAUGACGGCCUUCGGGUUGUAAACCGCUUUCGCCUGUGACGAAGCGUGAGUGACGGUAAUGGGUAAAGAAGCACCGGCUAACUACGUG
rnacentral:rRNA from 1 species